CCCGAGGGCCCUUCCCUCCUGGGCCUCCUGCAGUCCUCGCCGCAGCCCGGCGCCCGGGGCGGGGGCCACGGGGGGAGGGGGCAGCCGAGGCCCCGAGCGGCCACCUGGCUUCCCCGAGGUCACGCGGCCGGUCACCGCAGAGCCGGAGCCCAGCCCGGCCGAGCGCCCCCCUGGCUUCCCUCCUGCUGCCCUGGCCCAGGGCCCUGCGGACACCCCGACCCCAGCCUGUGCUCUGGGGCCAGCGGCUCCCCCCACCUCACUGCCUACCCACCCCGCCCCCAGGGCUUAGCUCGGAGACGCCGCUGACCCUAAGCCCCCUGCCCAGCCUCACCCCUGAGCCCAGACCCUUUGCUCCCGCUGCCCCCGCCGUGGGGUCAGGGACACACAGAAUGUCGGGGCUGGCAGGGGCCCCAGGAAGUCUGGCCCGUCCCCCUGGGGGUGCAGGUGGGGGCAGUGGUCCCUCCCUGGCCGUGCUGUGCGCCUCCCCUCCAUCCCAGAAGCCCCCAGGGCCUGACCGGGGCUCUGCCCUUCUCCCUGCAUCUCUCCUCUGCUUCCUGCCUCACUUCCCAGAGCAGAUGCUGCAAAAUCCAGGGGCAGCACAGAGUGGCGUCACAAGCUGUCAGUAAUGAUUAGCCUUCAUCAACAAACAGCAGUGGCCACCUGAGCUCCGCCUGAAUGACCAGACAGCUACAGGUUCCAGGGCCAAUCCUGUCCCAGCUGAGAGGGUUUAAGGAGUUUCGAGCAUUUUUCCAAAAGGACACCAAAAAUGGUCAAUAGGUGAUGCUCAACAGAAGAUGCUCAACAUCAGUUACCAUUGGUGAAGGAAAAGAAAAUUGAAACCAUGUGAGAUAGCACCUCACACUUGUCAGAAUGGUUAGUAGCAAAAAGAUAAGAAAUAACAAAUGUGUUGGGGAGGACGUGGAGGAAAGGGAGCCCUCGACACUGUUGGUGGGAAUGCAAAUGAGCCCAACCACUAUGGAAAACAAUAUGGAGUUUUCUCAAAAAAAAAAAAAAAAAAAGUAAAAAUAGAUCUACAAUACAUAUGAUCCAGUAAUUCCACUUCUGGGAAUGUACCCAAAGGGAAAGAAAACAGGAAUUCGACGAGAUAUAUGCGCCCCAUGCUUAUUGCAGCAUUAUUCACAAUAGCCGAGAUAUGGAAGCUGCCCAAAUGCCCAUCGGUGGAUGAAUGGCUAAAAAAGAUGUGGUACAUAAGCACAAUGGAAUAUUAAUCAACCAUGAGAAAGGAGACCGUUCGGCCACUUGCGACCAAAUGGAUGGACCUUGCACACAUUAUGCCAAGUGAGAUAAGCCAGACAGGGAAAGACAAGUUGUGAAUGAUAUCACUUAUAUUUGAAACCAAAAAAAAAAAAAAAAAAAAAAGAAAGAAAAAAAUCAAACAUAUGAAAACAAGAACAAGAACAGCGAGUGAAAUGGUGGUUCCUCAGGGUUGGGGGUGGGGGUGCAGUGUUGAUGGUGUUUACGGUUACAAAAUUGUAAUGAGUUACUGAAAUACGUAGGUGUUUGAGCACAGCAAUACUGUACUGUAAGUAUGACAUGUGAUAAAAUAUCAUUACGAUGGCAACCAUAUUAUAAUGUAUAAAUGUAUCAAAGUAACAAGAAGUACACCUUAAAUUUAUGUAAUAUCACAUGUCAAAUUUAUCCAAUUAAAAAAAUGCAAACUAAAAAAACCCCCACCUUAUUCAUGUAGAGUCUUUCCUGUCACCUGGAGUAUGAUAUGAGAGUUCUAUAUGUAUUAGCUGACCAAAUGAAGGAGUGAAUUAAUGGAUAACAAAUGAAUAAAACCCAAUUAUU
rnacentral:lncRNA from 1 species